UGUUCGGAAUUACUGGGCGUAAAGCGCGCGCAGGCGGCUAUCCAAGUCAGUGGUGAAAGCCCGGAGCUCAACUCCGGAACUGCCAUUGAAACUGUUUAGCUUGAGUAUGAGAGAGGUGAGUGGAAUUCCCAGUGUAGAGGUGAAAUUCGUAGAUAUUGGGAAGAACACCGGUGGCGAAGGCGGCUCACUGGCUCAUUACUGACGCUCAGGCGCGACAGCGUGGGGAUCAAACAGG
rnacentral:rRNA from 1 species